rnacentral:lncRNA from 1 species
ACUUUUGCAGGGAGGAAGUGAGGGAACACGGAAUUGAAUCUGGGUCAUGUGCCAGCUUUCUAGAAUGGAAUUGGAUUUUGGAGGAAGGUCUGGGAUUUUCUUUGUCCUCGUGAGAGGGGAUCUGGGAGACACCAAGUUCCGUCCAAGCAGUCAUGUAGACAAAAAAUUGUGUGAUAUGAAAUUUGGCUUGCAGGCCGACUUAGUUAGAAAGUCACGGGUCAGUUCUGACUGGAGGUCAAUUGCAAGUCUUUCAAGUCAUGGGUCACCCAGCACCUUACAAUUCUGAUAUGACCAAA